GGUCACAUGUAUAGGGACACUUCUGUUUGUGUUAUGAAGGUCAGAAGCUUAUCAAUGACACGGAUUAUAUUCGAAACUUUGGGAUCAAAGAUGGUGAUCAGCUUAAAUUUAUUCGGAAUAUGUCCAUUAAUUAUAGACUAGUGAAACAACUAUCUAAAAACAUCAGGGGUGCUUCCAAACAGUGCUCAAUGGGAGAGCAGACCAGUACAAAUGAAGAUGAGGAGGAAGUUCUGGUGCCAAAAUUCCAGUGAUGAGCAUAGUAAUAGCAAAAGCAAUUCCAAUGAUGAGCUUUAAAAAUUGAAGAAAAAUUCAAUGUUGAAGACUGGAUGUCUGAA